UCACCCUCGCGCCGGACGCAGAGUCGCUGUAAUGAAUGCUCGGGAAGUUAUGGAGAAAAAGGAUACGAUCCCAGUGAUUAAUGCCAAAGCCCCAUUGCCUGUGGAGAGGGUGAUGUUUGACUUCCUUGUACAGCUGCAGUUUGUGUGGUGAAGGUGCUCCCACAAUGUGGUUGGGUGGACAUUCAGAUGGUCACCUCAGUAUUUGAAACACCACACUCUGACAGAAUUACUCAAUUCAUCAGGACCUGGAUAUUUGCAUUUAGUUGGUACUGAAAGGGUGGAUUUGUGGAUGAAAAAUUCAAAUUGAGCUUCAUGUUCAGACCUGAUGGUUACUGGAUCCGUGCCGAUCUGAAUAUCAUUGGCCUUUUCAUCUGGAAGGAAAGGGUGCAAGAUGGUGAAGGUUUGCAGACUAAAAUCUCAAAGACAUGUGCAGAUUGUGAUUAAGUUAACCAGCAUUUGAAGAACCAAACAUAGAGAAUCACUCGGCCAAAAUCCUGCAACACUCUCCCUCCCAGCAUUGUCGGUCUAUCUGCGCCAAAUAGAUUGUGAAUGGUACAAGACAGCAGCUCACUACCAUCUUCUCAAGGGUAACUAGAGAUGGGGAAUAAAUGCUGGCUGAGCCAGUGAUGCCCAUAUCCUGGAAAUGGUUUAUCUCUAUAGUUGCUGAAACCCGGUUGAUGUUACUACAGGAUGAUGAGGGAUGCUGAGUGCAUCCUCCAGGAGGCAGCACCAUCACAUUACCCCUGCCUACACCCACACAGUAACACCGCAACGUCACUGGAACAAAAGGCAGUGAAACCAAAGGAGGACUUAGAUAUAGUUCUUCGAGGUAAAGUCAUGAAAGGGGAUUGGAACACAGCAGGAACAGGAGACUGAGCUGGAGGGUCAGCUGUUUCCCAUUGAAUGGUGGAGCAGGAUUGAAAGGCCGAAUAGCCUCCUCCUGCUGCUAUCUCCCAGGUAUGUAUAUAGUCAUGGAGCCCAGGUAGGAAGAAGUGGGCAGGGAUUCUCCACGAGAUUGCAUUUCCACAUCUGUUUUAAGUGAGGGAUAGUUUGAUGGAUUUUAUUUAACAUUUA